rnacentral:rRNA from 1 species
UAAUACGUAGGGGGCAAGCGUUAUCCGGAUUUAUUGGGCGUAAAGAGCUCGUAGGCGGCCGUUCGCGUCGGAUGUGAAAGCUCAGGGCUCAACUCUGAGACGCCAUUCGAUACGGGACGGCUAGAGGUAGGUAGGGGAAAGUGGAAUUCCUGGUGUAGCGGUGAAAUGCGCAGAUAUCAGGAGGAACACCGGUGGCGAAGGCGGCUUUCUGGGCCUUACCUGACGCUGAGGAGCGAAAGCUGGGGGAGCGAACGGGAUUAGAUACCCCGGUAGUCCCAGCCGUAAACGUUGAGUGCUAGGUGUGGGGAGGUCUUCAACCCUUUCUGUGCCGACGCUAACGCAUUAAGCACUCCGCCUGGGGAGUACGGUCGCAAGACUA